GCAGAUUAAGUGAGAAACUUUUAUUUUGAAAUCAUUCCUCUCGUGCGUUUACCGUAAUGUCUCAUUUAUGUGCACACAGAAAAAAAACGGGGGGCUAGUUUGACCGUCUUUUUCGGAGUGGCGGCUGGCUUGACCGCAGUGCAGGCUGAAACCAGUCUAUCGAGCUGAAAGAAAACGCAGCUGAGGAGAUAUGAGACUGCAGACAAGAGCCAUCGACCAUCGUUCCAGGAAACUUCCACCUAAACAGAUGUUGAGGCCCAGAUUUCCCUGCCAAGCACUCCAAGGCUCAUCAUGCUCUGAGAGUCCAUUCUGGGGGCAAAAAAUGGAUGCUUUUCAUCGAGGGCAGAGUUCUCCUCCAAUUGAGUGACCGUUGUGAUUUCACUUCUGCUCUAGCCAUGUAUGAUGCAGCCACUACAUUGGAAUUUAUCCAGAGGGUAGAGUCCAGCCCAGGAAGUCAACUAGUUCAGGUCCAGUUUUAAAAGAAUAAUAGUUCUGAAAAAAAAAACGUCUUGGAGAAAAACAAUAUUCAGGUUUGAAAUCCUGCUGUAAAUGUAAAUCAUUUAAUUUUUAUGCAUUUGUAAUUUACCAGAAACAUUUUAAUACAUAUUGAUUGUUUUGUGUGUUCAGAAAAGUGUUUUUGUAUGAAGUGUUGAAAUUAAAUGAAAUAUUCACAGAAAAAUGUUAACAUAUUAAAAAAAAUUUAUGUGUUCAAAAUAGUUUUGAGAUGUUCACAGAAAAAAUUUAACAUGUUGAAAAAAAUGUAUGCUAUGCUAUUUUUAAUUU